UACGUAGGCAGCGAGCGUUGUUCGGAAUUACUGGGCGUAAAGAGUGUGUAGGCGGUGUUCCCAGUCUGUUGUGAAAUCUCCCGGCUUAACUGGGAGGGUGCAGCGGAAACUAGAAUGCUAGAGGGUGGGAGAGGUAAGCAGAAUUCCUGGUGUAGCGGUGAAAUGCGUAGAUAUCAGGAGGAACACCUGUGGUGUAGACAGCUUACUGGACCACUUCUGACGCUGAGACACGAAAGCGUGGGUAGCAAACAGG
rnacentral:rRNA from 1 species